rnacentral:rRNA from 1 species
CAGCCGCCGCGGGAACACGUAGGGUGCGAGCGUUAAUCGGAAUUACUGGGCGUAAAGCGUGCGCAGGCGGUUGUGUAAGACAGGUGUGGAAUCCCCGGGCUUAACCUGGGAACUGCGCUUGUGACUGCACAGCUAGAGUAUGGCAGAGGGGGGUGGAAUUCCACGUGUAGCAGUGAAAUGCGUAGAGAUGUGGAGGAACACCGAUGGCGAAGGCAGCCCCCUGGGCCAAUACUGACGCUCAUGCACGAAAGCGUGGGGAGCAAACAGGAUUAGAUACCCCCGUAGUCCCUGUCUCUUAUCC